rnacentral:rRNA from 1 species
UUCGGCAAUGGACGGAAGUCUGACCGAGCAACGCCGCGUGAGUGAAGAAGGUGUUCGGAUCGUAAAGCUCUGUUGUAAGAGAAGAACGAGUGUGAGAGUGGAAAGUUCACACUGUGACGGUAUCUUACCAGAAAGGGACGGCUAACUACGUGCCAGCAGCCGCGGUAAUACGUAGGUCCCGAGCGUUGUCCGGAUUUAUUGGGCGUAAAGCGAGCGCAGGCGGUUAGAUAAGUCUGAAGUUAAAGGCUGUGGCUUAACCCAUAGUACGCUUUGGAAACUGUUUAACUUGAGUGCAAGAGGGGAGAGUGGAAUUCCAUGUGUAGCGGUGAAAUGCGUAGAUAUAUGGAGGAACACCGGUGGCGAAAGCGGCUCUCUGGCUUGUAACUGACGCUGAGGCUCGAAAGCGUGGGGAGCAACAGAUUAGAUACCCUGGUAGUCCACGCCGUAAACGAUGAGUGCUAGGUGUUAGACCCUUUCCGGGGUUUAGUGCCGCAGCUAACGCAUUAAGCACUCCGACUGGGGAGUAC